AGCAGCUCUAGGUGUGCUUGAUUCAGCACAGCCAUGAGCAUGGUUUGUGAAGAGGAUACUGGAGAGGCAGAGUGCUGAGCAGGCCUCAGGGAGCAGGGAUGAGCCUGCUUGCUCGUGGGGCUGGAACUGACCUGAGGAAAGCAAAGUGACUGGGGUCAGCGUGGAGCAGAUUACCUUCAGUGUGCAGAGGUAAGGCUUGGCGUAUGCCGUGUGAUGUUGAUCUGGG
rnacentral:lncRNA from 1 species